AGGAACAAUAACAGAGUAAAUUUAAUAUUAAUAGUUAUGGCUUUGAUUUAAAUAUUGAUAACAAGGUGUCUAAUUUUCUGGAUAACCUAAAUGGGUGUAGUAAUUUUCAACACUUCUUGUUUAUACAGACUCACAGAACUCUCCAAAAUGGAAGACAACUGGAGAUAACCUGGUGUAAUGUCAUGCUCAAGGGAGGGCUAAUGUGGAUCAUGUUGCUCAGGCUCAUGUCCAGUUGGGUUUCAUCAGGGAUGGAAACAUUCUCUGUAUUGUCAAAAUAGAUAUUGGAGGCAUUUGCUUUCACUUCUUAUUGACUCUACUCCUACAAUUAUAUGAGUUUUAAAAAGUGAAGAUGUCUAUCUUUGCUCGAGUGGAGUACAAUUAGGAAUGCCAUGCAGAAUUCAAGAAGAAGAAGCAGCUGAAAACCAGGCAGGACAUCCUGGAUAAAACAGUGUUAGUGAUGGAGCCAGAGCAUUACCUCAUUUUGUUGACGCUGCAUUCAGGUUGCCUGGGGCUUUCCAGUGGCCUACCUGCAAAAUAUUGAGGAGAUGCAGCUUCACAGCUUUUAUACAUGCUCAUCUGUGGCAUUACAAUUUGGACAUCAUUACUUUUCUAAUGUUGCUGCAAAGAUGCUGAUGAGACACAUGUUUCUGACUGCAAAAAGUAUUCAGCUUGUCUUUGAAAGACAAGAAAAUUGUGACCCAGCAGUUACUCAUGGACACCACAUCACAUUCUCGUUUGCACUGGGAACAUAUUCUGCUUCAUGGCCUGCGUGAUUUUCUUACCUCUGGGAUUUCAAAGAUUUUUUAUGUAUCUUGGUCAGAUCUGCAAGCAAGAAUUCUACAUGUUCCUUUCUCUAUGCAAUCUGCCAAUUCCUCACGCCCUGUAUUGGGAUAGGUGAGAAUGUACAUGGGCCUCUUUGCCAUCUCACAACUGAUGUAUACUUCCUUAGAGAAUAGGACUGGGUAGGGCUACAGCAGUCCCUGGGUUAUGCUAAUAGAAAAGUAGAGGGCCUUAAGAAGCUUAUGACUGAUCCAGCUUCUUUUCAAAAUCUUGAUGAUCAGCAGAAUGAAACAGCAAAAUUUGGCAUGAAUUAAUUUAAUAUGAAAGGUUUGUUCCUUCUCUGUAGUACCAUUCACUCUCAUACAAGCAUCAAAUAUUUUAACAUUUACUGAGUUUUGCAGAAGGAAACCCCUCAAAACCAAUUUCAUUACUUUGGGCUUUAAUGUGAAUCCAUGACAAUAUUGAAUCAUUAUAGCAUGGAUACAAGUGUCACUGCUGCAGAUGGAAGCACUCUUCUAAUAAAACAAGCCUGACUAAUUCUACUAAUGCUCUUAUUCUGUUUUAGACCUUCCUUUUUCUCAGAGAUGUAUCAAAAGUUGAAACAUGGGCUUCCAGGAAAUGGAGAUUUUCUCCAGCAGGCUCAUCGCUAUUUUUAUAUUAAUAACAUCUGAGCAGCAUGCUUUGGGUAUAUACUGGAUUUGCUUUUGUACUUCGCAUCUUCUUUGAAUCCCAAAUUUCUCAUGACCAUAACACCAACAGAGAUUAGUUAUUGAUCAGGGCUUGCUUUGCAGUUUAAGUUUUAUUUCCCCAGCACUGAUAUCCAUGCAUUAGUAAUGUGUGACAUAUAUGUACUUCACCCCUAAAAAUAAAUUUCAAAUGCAUUUUUAUCAUCACAUCUCUUCAGCUUCCCUCAAUGUAGAAAAUUAUAUAAUACUACUCCACUCAGCUGCUCUGCUUUUUAAACUCUUCUAAAUAUUACAUGACAACUAUAACAAGUAUAAUUAUGUGUUUAAUUUUAAAAAUGCUGAAUGAAAACCAGUAACAUUGAUACAGAAAUUAAUACUUUUAGAAGCUGCAAUA